AAACAACGCUACCUCGUCGUCGACAUUAUAUCAUGCUAGCGCAUCAUCAUAGAGUUCAGUACUGUUUAAUCUGUUGAGAUAAAUGUCAUGUUGGUAUGAUCACUAGUUCCUACAUGCGAAGUUGGUACGACUUCUAACGACGCCCUUUUGUUUUGGCUUCUGCCACGUGUUAAUUAUCUGAGAGUAUCCGGUGUGUUCAUAUGGCUGUACAUGGUGGUGAAAUACAGAAUAUAAAAACUGAAUCUGUGUGAAUCAAUUAAAUAUCGAACUCCAAAACCUAUUUAAUAACAGGGGUAGUGCAGUAACCGAAAUGGAAAUUAUUCUACAUGCAAAAGCUGUACUAAUUUUGUGUAAGUAAUUUAGAAAUAUAUGAGGUCUUGCAAAUCAAAUAAUUUGAUGUAGGAAAUUCUUGAUUUUCAUAAAAUAGUUCUGAACUGCUAUGACUGCGUGGAAACGAAGAAGUUCGGAAAUGAAAUAUAGAGAAAUGUGUUUGUGUUUUAUCUAUUCUUGUUGAGUAGUGGAGAACCCAUAUUCUUAUACCAUAUACCUACACUGUGUAUGGUUGACUUUGUCUUUAUGUCAGAUUACCAUUAAAGCAUUAAUUUCUGUCCAUAACAUGAAUGUUUUCGCUAUAAUAUAAGUUGGGUUAUAUAUAUUUUUCCACUCGUACAAAAUACCAAAAGUUGCCUUUGCCAAAUCAAUUUAUAUAUUGAUCACUACUUGUGAAACAAUUG